rnacentral:rRNA from 1 species
CAGUCGCCGCGGUAAUUCGUAGGGUGCAAGCGUUAAUCGGAAUUACUGGGCGUAAAGCGUGCGCAGGCGGUCCGCUAAGACAGAUGUGAAAUCCCCGGGCUUAACCUGGGAACUGCAUUUGUGACUGGCGGGCUAGAGUAUGGCAGAGGGGGGUAGAAUUCCACGUGUAGCAGUGAAAUGCGUAGAGAUGUGGAGGAAUACCGAUGGCGAAGGCAGCCCCCUGGGCCAAUACUGACGCUCAUGCACGAAAGCGUGGGGAGCAAACAGGAUUAGAUACCGGGUAGUCCCUGUCUCUUAUACA